rnacentral:lncRNA from 1 species
AAGGCUUCCUGCUGUCUCUCCAGGCUCCGCAAGCAGGGCUGGGGCACCCUCAGGCGGCCAAUCUGUAUCACUACGCCGAGCCUGCCUCUACCAACUUCCAAGACCUAGCUCUAAUAUUCAUACUCAUCUCUCAGACAGACCUUGGCUCCCUAAAAGCCAAGGCCCAGAAGAUCAUACAAGAAAUUCCCUCUUUUAUGAUUCCCCGUGCACGAAGUGACCUUCUGGUGGUGAGAUGGAGAGAAAUUGAUAGUGGCGAUAGACAGCAAAGUCUCCAGGAGCCAGACUUCCUCGGGAAACUUGGGGCACGUGUGGAGUGUGAGUGAGUGAGCUGCUGGAAUGAACUGACCAGACAGGACAUCAUCUAUGUAUGGGAUUAGAAUGGAAUUACAGGAGAAAACCAAAUCCCUCAAAUUAGCAUUCAGGAUCGGAAAAAAAAUGUCAAGUCCAAUGUCCCUUUUCUUUACAGUAUAUACAAGUGUCUCUAUCAACAUUAGGUUUUGAGGUUGAGUGCAGUGGCCCACACCUGUAAUCCCAGCACUUUUGAGAGGUGGAGGAUCGUUCAACCCCAGGAGUUCAAGACCAGCCUCGGCAACAUAGUGAGACCCCAUCUCUAUAACAAAUAAAAAACAUGCCCGGG